rnacentral:rRNA from 1 species
UUCCGGUUGAUCCCGCCAGAGGCUACUGCUAUCGGGGUCCGACUAAGCCAUGCGAGUUGAGAGGGGUAAGCCCUCGGCAUAUUGCUCAGUAACACGCGGAUAACCUGCCCUUGGGUUUGGGAUAACCCCGGGAAACUGGGACUAAUACCGGAUAGAUCAAAGAAACUGGAAUGUUCUCUGAUCGAAAGCUCCGGCGCCCAAGGAUGGGUCUGCGGCCUAUCAGGUAGUAGUGGGUGUAACGUACCUACUAGCCUACGACGGGUAAGGGUUGUGAGAGCAAGAGCCCUGAGAUGGAUUCUGAGACAUGAAUCCAGGCCCUACGGGGUGCAGCAGGCGCGAAAACUUUACACUGCGGGAAACCGCGAUAAGGGGACCCCGAGUGCCAGCACCUAGUGCUGGCUGUCCAGCUGUUCAAAUAACAGUUGUUAGCAAGGGCCGGGCAAGACCGGUGCCAGCCGCCGCGGUAACACCGGCGGCCCGAGUGGUAGCCGUUAUUAUUGGGUUUAAAGGGUCCGUAGCCGGCCUAUUAAGUCUCUUGGGAAAUCUGGCGACUCAAUCGUCAGGCGUUCAAGAGAUACUGGUAGGCUUGGGACCGGGAGAGGUGGGAGGUACUCCAGGGGUAGGGGUGAAAUCUCGUAAUCCUUGGGGGACCACCGAUGGCGAAGGCAUCCCACCAGAACGGGUCCGACGGUGAGGGACGAAAGCUGGGGGCACGAACCGGAUUAGAUACCCGGGUAGUCCCAGCCGUAAACGAUGCUCGCUAGGUGUCAGGUGCGGUGCGACCGCAUCUGGUGCCGCAGUGAAAACUUGAAGCGAGUCACCUGGGAAGUACGGUCGCAAGGCUGAAACUUAAAGGAAUUGGCGGGGGAGCACAACAACGGGUGGAGCCUGCGGUUCAAUUGGAGUCAACGCCGGG